rnacentral:rRNA from 1 species
UACGUAGGGUGCGAGCGUUAAUCGGAAUUACUGGGCGUAAAGCGUGCGCAGGCGGUUCUGAAAGUCAGCUGUGAAAGCCCCGGGCUUAACCUGGGAAUUGCGGUUGAAACUACAGGGCUAGAAUCUGGCAGAGGGGGGUGGAAUUCCACGUGUAGCAGUGAAAUGCGUAGAGAUGUGGAGGAACACCGAUGGCGGAAGGCAGCCCCCUGGGCUGAGAUUGACGCUCAGGCACGAAAGCGUGGGGAGCAAACAGG